AGCUUUGCAUAGAAGCAAUGUCAUAGCCAAUGAAGUAGCCAUAGCGUGACUAUUGCUAGUUAAAAACUUUUCACAAUACCACUCCCAGUCGAUGUGAAAUACCUUCGGCUGAGGCAAUUUUUUGGAAGCUCCCUCGGGAA